ACACCCCAUAAUGACAACAUGAAAAAAUCUUUUUGAAUUUUUUGCUAAUUUACUAAAAUAAAAAAUAAAAACAAGAAAUCACAUGUACAUGGGUAUUCACACCCUAUGCUCGAUACUUUGUUGACGUACCUUUGGCAGCAAUUAGAGCCUCGAGUCUUCUUGAAUAUGAUGCAAGAAGCUUGGCUCACCUACCUUUGGGCAGUUU